GUCAAGGGGAACUUGGUAUACCAUUUCUACAGCCCACGGCCUAGUUUAGGGCUGAAGAGACUCAUCUCUCUUGUUUUUCACCGCCAUAGCUUUUUUCUUCGAAGUUCCUUCACUGCUUUCCUACCAAGCUCGAAGGAACCUUUUUUCCAUUUCUAGCCAUUUCCCUAAUCUCAAAUUGAUUUCUUGAUUUUCUUUCUUUGUAUUCCCCCCUUCCAUUUUGAUGACUUGUUCGGUAAUCCAAACCCUAACAUUUUCUUGUUGAUGACUUCCAAUUUUCGGCUUCCGCAGUGUUGAUGAUUUUAUAAGCGCUUGUCGAAAUCUGAAAUCCUGUUUAUUGUUUCUUGGGGUUGAUGCGCUAGGAAUUACUGCAGGAAGCCAACUUCAGUAUGGGGUUUGACAACGAGUGCAUAUUGAACAUUCAGUCUCUUGCUGGGGAAUAUUUCUGUCCAGUUUGCCGCUUGCUUGUUUACCCACAUGAAGCGUUGCAGUCACAGUGCACUCACUUAUAUUGCAAGCCUUGUUUAACGUAUGUGGUUAGCACCACCAGGGCUUGUCCAUAUGACGGAUACUUGGUUACAGAAGCCGAUUCUAAGCCACUGGUUGAAUCAAAUAAAACUCUUGCUGAGACCAUCGGAAAAAUAGCCGUUCAUUGCCUGUAUCAUAGGAGUGGAUGCACUUGGCAAGGGCCAUUGUCUGAUUGUGUAACUCAUUGUUCUGGAUGUGCUUUCGGUAAUUCCCCUGUUUUAUGCAAUCGUUGUGGGAUUCAACUUGUACACCGGCAAGUACAGGAGCACGCACAAACUUGUCCAGGUGUGCAGCAGCCUCAAGCACAACAAGCAGACGUUGCUCAAGGUACCACAGUCAGUGGGACGGCAGCUGCUACCGAUCAAGCCCAGUCUUCUGGAAUGGGAAAGUCUCAAGGUCAAGCCCAAUCUUCACAGAGUGUAGGAGUCAGUGCUCCUGCACAGGAUCCCAAUCAGCAGGCUAACGCCACUUCCCAGGGUCCAGCUGUUGUUCAAGCUGCUUUGCCGACUUCAGAACAGUGGUAUCAACAGCAGCAACAACAGUAUCAACAGUACUACCAGCAGUAUCCUGGAUAUGAUUCUUAUCAACAGCAGUACCAGAACUACUAUCCUUACCAGCAGCAAGCUGGUGUACCUUAUCAGCAUUCGCAGCCAUCCCAUGCUCUUCCUUCACAAGUAGCCACUCAGCAUCCAUCUCAGGCGUACAUUCAACCCCAGACUCAGCUGCAGCCGCAGCCACAGCCACAGCCACAGCCACAGCCACAGACACAGACACAGCCUCAGCCUCAGCCUCAACCCCAACCUCAAACCCAAGUUCCAGUCCAUCACCAACCCCAACCCCAACCCCAAACCCAAACCCAGGCCCAACCUCAAUCUCUAUCACAGUCUCAACCAUUAUCUCAGCCACUUGGACAGUCUCAAUUACAUAUGCAUGCCCAAACACCUGCUGUUGGUCAAUCUCAAAACCACGGACAGGUCAACCCUCAACAGCAGAUUUAUCAUGCUGCAACCCUGCAUUCUCAAAUCCAACAGCAAGGACACCCACCUGCGCCUGGCCAAGCACAAUCUCAACCUCACUCAUAUCCUCAAGUUCAGCCUACUUCGCAGCAAGCCGUACAUAUGCCCCAGUAUCAGCAGUCUCAUUCCCAGGCUCAGAUUCAGCAACAGGUGCAUCCUCCUUUCCAUCCGCCUCACCAUUCUGUUUCUCAGCCACCAUCCCAGUCACAAGCCACCGCUCAACACCAUUCUCAGCUUCCUAACCCACAGAUCAAUCAAUCUCUAUCCUUGACGCCUAAUGCACAACCCCAAACGCAAAAUCCACCAACAUAUGCUGCAACAGGCUAUCCUUCUUAUCCCCAGCCACAACAUCACCAGCAAAUGCAGUUGGGAGUUCCUCAGAAUGUCCCAUCGGCACCGCAAGGUGGGGCCCACCAACAAUCCCAACCGCUAGUUCAAAUUCAGUCUCAAUUGCCCCAACCACCUCCCAUGCGCCCAUCCCAACCACCUCUGUACCAAAACCAGCAACAACCACCAAUAUUGCCGUCCUCCAAUCAGGUUCAAAAUGUUUCCUCUGCUCAACAACUACAUAUACACUCCCAUGCUCAACAACCUGGAGGCCCUGGACAGGCAGCCAACCAGCGUCCUGUCAUGCAGCUAGUGCAACAGUCUACAUCCCAGCAAGUUGUGCAUCAACACCAGCAUUUUGGACAGCAAGGGCAGUUUAUACAGCAUCAACUGCAUAUGACACCUCAAAUGCGUCUACCUGGACCUCCAAAUUCUUUGUCUCAACAUAAUCAUGCCUAUGCGCACUUGCAGCACAAUGCCAAUCUACCUCAUGGCAUGCAACACAAUUCUUCUCAAAGUUCCGAAGGAAGGCCUUUAUUGCCUAACCAAGGAGCACAAUCUAUUCCUUAUUCACAGUCCAUGGUUGGUGUUCCAGUAAGAGCAAUACAGCCUGGUGCUAACCAGCCUACUAUAAAACAGGGACCCACAUUUGGUAAAAAUAGUAACCAGGUGCAGUUGCCGGAUGGAUUUGGUGAACGCAAAUUAGAAAAAGGCCUAGAUGGGCGAGAGAGUGGAUCAUCUUCUCAAAAGGAUGCCAAAAGAGCUGCAAAUCAUUUGGAUGUGUCAUCUACUAUGGGGGCAAAUGCUGGUGGGUUGAAGACUGAAAAAUCCGAAGCUGAUAAAGGUAGAUAUGCUAUUGGGGACAAAUCUAUUCAUGCUGAUACAUCUACUGAACGUACUCCACAAAAUGGAGCGAUGGACUCUAAUUUACAUGUAGGUGACAGUGGUAAGACCAAGCAGGUUGAGCUAAAGAUAAAGACAGAAGCAACAGAAGGUACUUUUGAUCAUCCAAGCAAUGAUAAGUUGGGGGAAGUUAGUAUUCAGGACCAGAAAGAUCUUGGCACUGAACCUAAGAAAAUGGAGGAUCUUGUUAUUGAGAAUAAAGGAAAUCAGGAAGAAUUUAAUAUCUCAUCACAAGACACUGAACUACGUGAAGAACAAAGCAAGAGGAUGCAGAAUGACACUAGUGGAACUCCACACCCUCCCUCUGGUACAAAUGAGGGCCAACAAGGUGCCACUACUACAUCAUCUUUAAUACUUGGUAGCCCUGGCAUGUUGAAUCAACAUGGCUAUCAAGAUAAAAUUCCACCUCAAACUGGGGGCACUCAAAUUGGCGCAGCAGUGACUUCUCAUCCAGCUUCUCUAGUUGCUCACACAAGACAUCAGACACCACCCAGUAGUUAUGUGUCAUCUGCACUUCAACAAGGUGUGGCAGCACCGUCAUUACCAGGACCUCCUCCAGGACCUUAUCAUCAAGCACAAUUUUCAAAUAAUCCGUCCAUGCAAGUUAGGCCACGGGCCCCUGGCUUGGUGGUUCAUCCUGGACAACCUUUCAAUCCAUCUGAACCAUUUCAUCCGGGUGGCAUUCCAGAAUCUGGUUCUGCCUCAUCUUUUGGUAGAGGGCUAGGUCAGUAUGGUCCUCAGCAAGCUUUGGAGCGAUCCAUUGGUUCUCAAGCAACCUAUAGUCUAAGCCAACCAUCUGCUUCUCAAGGGGGUUCGAAGAUGUCUCUAGGUGAUCCAGUUGGAGCGCACUUCCGUUCAAAGCUUCCUGGGGCUUUUGAUUCAAGGGAACUGUUGCAUGCUCCUGAAGCUCAAAUUGGUGUUCAGCGCCCCAUUCAUCCUUUGGAGGCUGAGAUAUUUUCAAAUCAAAGGCCAAGACUUGAUUCUCAUCUUCCUGGGACCAGGGAACAUCAUCCACCACAUCUCACUGGGAUUCCUCCUAAUGUGUUGCCUUUGAAUGGUGCCCCUGGUCCUGAUUCCUCUUCCAAACUUGGCUUGAGGGACGAAAGAUUCAAACUGAUGCAUGAAGAACAGUUGAAUCCCUUUCCGCUGGAUACAGUUCGUCGUCCUAUUAAUCAGACAGAUGCUGAAGAUAUUCUCAGGCAAUUUCCCCGGCCUUCUCAUUUGGAAUCUGAACUUGCUCAGAGAAUUGGGAAUUACUCUUUGAGACCUUUUGACAGGGGUGUGCAUGGGCAAAAUUUUGAUACUGGCUUAACCAUUGAUGGUGCAGCUGCUUCAAGAGUUUUGCCUCCUCGUCAUAUAGGUGGUGCAUUACAUCCUACAGAUGCUGAGAGACCAAUUGCUUUCUAUGAAGAUCCUACUGGACCAGCAGAUCGAGCUCGUGGCCAUUCUGACUUUCCUGCACCAGGAGGUUAUGGCAGGCGUUUUGUAGAUGGAUUUGGUCCAAGAAGUCCUCUGCAUGAAUAUCAUGGACGUGGGUUUGGAGGUCGUGGGUUUACGGGUGUUGAGGAAAUUGAUGGUCAAGACUUCCCUCGUCAUUUUGGUGAUCCACUUUCAUUUCGUGAGUCUAGAUUUCCUAUUUUUCGAAGCCAUCUGCAAAGAGGUGAUUUUGAGAGCCCCGGUAAUUUUAGGAUGAGUGAACAUCUGAGAACUGGUGACUUAAUUGGACAAGAUAGACAUUUUGGACCUCGAAGCUUGCCUGGGCAUUUACGCUUGGGUGAGCUGACUGCUUUUGGUUCUCAUCCUGGUCAUUCUCGGAUAGGAGAUCUAUCUGUGCUUGGUAACUUUGAGCCAUUUGGUGGAGGGCAUAGGCCAAAUCAUCCUCGGCUUGGUGAACCAGGGUUUAGAAGCAGUUUUUCUCGUCAGGGGCUUGCAGAUGAUGGGAGAUUUUUUGCAGUUAAGUUUCAUGGAGACGUUGAAUCUUUUGAUAACUCAAGGAAGAGGAAACCAACCAGCAUGGGAUGGUGUAGGAUUUGCAAAGUUGAUUGCGAAACAGUUGAAGGCUUGGAACUACAUUCACAAACUAGAGAGCACCAGAAGAUGGCUAUGGAUAUGGUGCAGAGCAUCAAACAAAAUGCAAAGAAACAUAAAGUAACUUCAAAUGAUCAUUCCUCCGAGGAUGGCAAAUCAAAGAAUGUUGGUCUUGAGAGCCGCGGGAAAAAGCAUUAAAUUUGCAACUCUUCUCACACUCAUGGACUUCGUUUUACAGGGGCCAAUUUUGUUUCCUUGGUCUUGUUGCAUCUAGUGAUAUAGGUGAUUCCCCAUCUAUACUUCUUUUCUUAAUUUGGGUGGUUUAUUCUAGUUUUGUUAUUUCAGGGUUGAUCUGCCAUGUUUGGAGAUGAUUUUUGAGGAUGAAGUUCGCUGGCAAUCUUUCAAUUCAACCUGUACUUUCCUGGGCGAAGCAGACUACUACCAAAAUGCUGAAAGUUCAGUGGGAAGGGUUAGCAAGUCAUCUUUGUUUGAGGUGGUAAGAAUGUGUUUGAUGUAAAGAUGCAUUAGUUGGAAAUCACUUUGCUGUGUCUCUAUUCAUUAAUCUUGCACUGAUGGUUGUUUCUUGCCCUGUACUCUUUUGACGUUAAAGUCAUAAAACUUAGGCUCCACUCACAAAUUUUCAUUAUUAGGGGAGGAACCUCCUCCUCCUCCUCCUCUUCCUCUCUCUCUCUCUCUAUUCUUAGAUCUUCCUUUUUUUUGUGAUAGAAAAAUGAAAUACAUUACCCUAAUAGUGCAUAGAGUGAGGGGUGUAAACCAAAAAGCAAUGAAAUGGAUGUCAUCUUAGUUCUGGAAGUGCACCCUAGGAAUAAGAUAAAGUUCUACACUAAUCCCCAUAUUUCUUUGAAUCCAUGGCCGUGUACUAAAAACUUGUUUGGUUUCUUAUUAACCAAACAGACAGAUGUAUGACAUAGAUUUCACUUUAUUAGUAGAGUGGGAAAGGACGUCAUAAAGCAAUUGCUAAUUUGCAAAAAUCUUAAGCACCAGCUGAUUCUUUCUCUUACAGAUAUAAUUUUUGUGGAAGCAGCGAAUCUUUUAUCUGUAUUGAUUUAGUGAAAAGGUACAACCAAAAUCUAUUUAUUCCCUAUUGGAGUUUACAAGAAAACCCACUCCAAUACUUGAUAUAACUGCAGAGGGAGCGCUAUUAUAUUGAGAACUAUGAAAUGCACUGUCAACAAAUGAUAGCCAGCAGAAUUCUGGAACCUCUUGCCAGGCCAGCCCAAAUUUAUUUGCCAUAAACAACCUUCCAAAUCUUUUUAACCAUAGUCCUUCAUUCACCACAUUUAGAUACGUGUCUUUCUUUUCCUUUUUGUCUGUCUCUUGUCUUUUGCUUCUCCUCCUCCUCUUUAUCCCUCCCAAGUCUGUGGAACUGACUUUUUCUUCUUCCUCUCUUUUCUUGUGAUUCCUUUGGUUUCAUGCCAACCAAAGAACAAUUCAGGUAUUUGGUAUAUACCUUUUGUAUCAUUCAAAUUAAAAAAUAAUUUCCCGGGGGAUUCUUAUUUCUAGUUUGUUUUGAUGCUCGCUAAAAAUUUGCUGAGAUGAUAAUUAAAUUUAUAAAAACAACAAGAUAAUGGGGAGAGGCAGAGAAUGUAAAGAGAAAUAGUAUAUGGGAGCGAGACUAUGUUGUAAUUGGUGUGAGAAAGUUCUAUGUUGCGACAAGAUAAAGUUCAGAGGGAAAAUGCUGAGAGUUUGCCACGAGAAGUUAAUGAGAGAAGAGAAGGCUUGUGAAGAGAGAUUAGUGAGAAAAAGUGUAUAAGAAGGAAGGUAGGGAUGGAAACUAAGGAGAGAAAAAUGUGUAUAGAACAUUAUCAAGGAAUAAUAUGAGUCAGGGGGAUUGUGUAAACCAAAAACACUUGAUUAAAGCACCAAUGAUUUAUUAUUUUGUGAAGCACUUCUAAGUUUGCAUUUGAUGUUUUGAUUGGUGCUUUCAAAUUGUAUUUAUAAAGCCCAACUUUUGAGGGAGGAAGCACAUUUAAGUUUAACUAAGUACUAUCGUCAUGGUGAAAAGCACUCCCAGUAUGGAUCCUUCACCCAUAUUUUCCAGCAUUUAAGUAUCUUUAAGCUCUUUGAGUUUCAAGUUGGUCAGUUUCCUUUUUUUUCUCCAACUUUCAAGCCUUAAUUUGUUCACCGUAGUGUUCACUUACUGUUUUUAGCUUAAGGUUCUAUCACAUAAAUUAGGAAGUGUAGCCCUAGGGAAUUGAUUGUCGAUCCAGGCUUCUUCCCAUGGAUCUGCUUUCCAUAUCCUACUUCAGUCUAGGGGUGUAAACGGGUUGGGUUGGGGGACAUUUCCAACCCAACCUAUAUUUUCGGGUUGGUUGGGUUGGCAACCCAAAUAAUAUUUCCAACCCAACCCAACCCUUAAAAUAUGGGUUGGGUUGUACAGAUUUUGCAAAAGAGAGUAGGAUUUCUGGAUUCAACUUUUCCUUUUCUAAUGUCAUCAUUCCACUCUUAGUGAAAACACAGAAAAUCUACUAAAAAUGUAGAUCUACUAAAUUUUUAAUGAAGAAAAAGCUCAAAAUAAAUAAUCACUAACAUUCAGAAGUCGGAGAUUGAGAAGGAGAUGGUGAACACCAUAAAUGAGAGGCCGGUGGUGAACUUCGAAGAUGAGAGGCCGAGACGAGGCGUGAAAAGAGAUGAGGUACAAUGUGAAGAUUUUGAGAGAUGAGAAGGAGAUGGCUAAUCAGAGAGAUGAGGCACGAUGUGAAGAGUCUAAGAGAUGAGAAGGAGACGGUGAGUAAGAGAGAUGAGGUGCGGUGUGAAGAGUCUGAGAAAUGAGAAGGAGAUGGUGAGUCAGAGAGACGUGGCGCGGCGUGAAGAGUCUGAAAGUGAGAAGGAGUCGAUGAGUCAGGGAGACGUGGCAUUGCGUGAAGAGUCUGAGAGUGAGAGAUGUGAAGGACUGAAGGAGACGGUGAGACUGAGAGAGAUAAGGGCAGAGUAACCUAGUUCUUUAUAAUAAUAAAUUAAUAAUAAUAAAUAAAUAAAUAAAUUAAUUAAUUAAUUAAUUCGAGUUGGGUUGGGCUGAACCGAACUUUUCAAACCCACCCCAACCCUUAUAAUAUGGGUUGGGUAGUUCGGGUUAUUUGAGUUGUCAGGUUACUCUUACACCCCAACUUCGGUCCGACAAUGGUUUGAGAUACUUCCUUUAUGUUUAACAAUAUUUCUUAUUUGGAAGGUUAAGGUAAUAGUGGAAGUUCGUUUUGGGUGGAAUAACUUAUUAUUGUGGAGUGUUUCUUUGACAAAUUUUCUUGUUUUAUAGUGGGUGAUGGAAGGUGGACUGAUUUUUAGGAAGUUAUUUGGUAAGAAACUAAGGGAGCGUUUCGGGCAAGUAGUUAUUAUAGUUGGGUUAUCCUAGUUUGUGUUUGAGAUGUGGAUUAUUUUAGUUUGGGUUAUCAUAAUAUGUGUAUGAGGUGUAAACUAUUUUAGUUUGAGAAGAGAAUAGUAAACACUGUAGCAAAAGUUAGGUAAAAUAGUAAAAACUGUGACAAAUGGGGGGACUUUGAAAUAGUGUUGAUUGUAGUCAAUUGGAGACUUUUAAAUAGUAUUUACCGUAAUGAGAGGUGGUUGUUAUAGUCUUUAGGAUAAUUCUUGUCCCGAAUGCUCCCAAAACAUUUUCUACAUUUACAAAUCUUUAGAUGGUUUCUAGCAUUCUUUGUUUAAUUUAUAAGGGUUUGGAUAGAAUAAUGAAGUCUUAAGUUUGUUACCAGAAGAAAUCUUCCAGUGGAAAUUCAGGAAUUCAGUUCCUUGCUUUGCUGGAAGGUUUACCAGAUUUCGAAUAGUAUAUCUGAAGCAAAGGAGUAUUUCUGGUGUUUUCUGUAAGAGUACUAGUUAGGGAUAUUAGCAUGGUAUUGGGUAGAGGGCAUAAUGGUAGUGAAUAAGGGUAAUUAGUUAGGGAGCAAGUGUAUUUGGUUAUACAUAUAGGGGAGGGGAUUGGAGGGAUGAUGGAGAAUUGUUGAGUGACCUAGAAAGAUUCCAAGUGCCUUUUUACGCGGGCUAUCUUCUAGUUUCAUCUUUAUAUCUCAAUACCAAGAGUGUCUGUGGGUUGGAAUGGAUUGGGUUGGAAGUCCAAUCCAAUUGUUUGAGUUGUAAAUUUCUUUCAACCAACCAACCUUUAUUAAAAAAUGAACCAAACUUAACAGAACCUUGAAACAUUUAGGUUGGGUUGGUUCUAGUUAAUCAGGUCAUUUUUUAAAAAAAAUUAUUCUAGGAAGAAGUAAAAUGUUAGUACAUAAAAAGUUGAUUUAAUUAUUUUCAUAUAUUGAAUUAAGAUUAAAAGUUCAACUUCACAUAUAAUGAAAAGUUUCUUUCCGAAGUGCUAAAAAACUAUUUAUAGGAAUUGUUGGAGAAUAAAUUAUCUGAAAAAUAAUAAAUUUAAUAAAACUAAAAUAAAUUUAUGAAUAUAUAAUCGUAUCAUAAGUAUAAAAAAAAAUACAUUUUAGAAGUAAUAAUAAGUUCAGAUUGGUUCGAGUUAUUUUAUGUGAACCUAUGAAACAUCCCAAUCCAUAAACAUUUCAUUUAUUUGAACCAAAACCAACACAAACGAGUUGAUAACCCAACACAAGUUGUGUAGGUUGGGUUGAUCUUUUGUUGGGUCAUUGGGUUUUUUGAAACCUUAAUUUAUAUUCUUGUUAGGAAGUAUCCUAACAUUUUCUUGUGCUUUCCUUAGUCGUCACUAAGCUUUUUGGCUUUCUCUUGUUAUCCUAGUUUUUGUGCAAAUGUUUGGUGGAAGCAGUGUUUUUAAAUGCCCAAAGUGCAGUAAGGGCGCAAUGACCUUUUGGAGCUUAGGCGCAAGUCACACAAGAAGUGCAGGUCUUUUUUUUUUUUUUGUUGUGAUGUGCACUACAUAUGAAAAUAUUAUAUUAAAAAGAGAGGAUAGUUGAAGAGGAAAUAUUGGAAAGAAGGCCCCCUAGGCUUAGUAAACUUGAUUCUUUUAGUUCUUUUAGAAGGAAAACCCUGAAUUAUUAUUGUUUUUUAAAAAUAAUGAAAAAAGCUCCUUAUUUUGUGAGCCUCGCCUUUCUAAGGUGGGGCACAAGACUUGUGCCUUGAGCCUAGGUGCCUGCUUGAGAGGGCUUUUUAAAACACCGGUGGAAGUCUAAAAAUCCCAAUUAGUUCAUUGUGUUUAUUUGGAUCUUGCUAAAGGGUAAACAAUGCUAAAAUUUUAUUUAUUUUUUAUUAUUUGAUAGAAACAAUUGUUUUCAUUGAGGAGAAAGAAAAAAAGAAUCCAAGGCAUACAAGAAAAAAGAAAACAAGCCCACAAAAAUGCCCCUAAAUUGUGAGUUUCCAACUAGGAGAGAUCUAAAAAGUAAUCACAAAAACGGACGAAAUUUAUUAAUGGAAGUCAUUUUGCUUGCAUUAGAAGCAGCUGUUCGUAUGCAGUUUAUGAAAGCCAAAAGGAAGUGAAGAUCAAAACCAUAUCUUAUGUUGAUUGGUUGUUAUUUUGGAAAUCUGGCGCACCUUUUGUAAUUCUUUUUGAGUAUUUGUUGAGGUUUUUUUGGCAAACGUUCCAUGAACCUUGCAAUAUCAUUUAGAGAAGUGAAGUUCAAGAGUUUUUAGUGAAACACAUCUUCUCGUGGUUUGUAUAAAUAUUGCAUCCAGACCUUAUUGAUUAGCUUCCUCAAGAAACUGCCUAAUCCGUCUUACGCAAGGCCAUUACUCCAUUUGCUCAAAUGCCCAAUUGUUGCUCUCCGCUAUUUCUUAGUAUUGGCACCCGUCGAUUUGUAGCUGAUUGCCUGCGCAUGGGAAAAAUAGAUGUGAUAGGUUUGGAAAAUGUUAGAACAGCUUUUUGUAGUGCCAAUUUUAAACUUUUGGAAAGGUAUCUUGUGACUUUACAGCUUGCAUGUCUCUCUUUCUGUUUGUUUUUUUAAGAAAGAAGUCCUUUACUUAUGUUCGCCUAAACAAGAUGAAGUUAAGACACUCAUUUCAGGAUGAGCCUCUACUACCUCCGUCGUGGGACGAAGCUAGUGAUUUUUUCUCUAAAUGAGUACUUUGUAGCUGAAGUGAAACCUUGAAUUUGGAUACAUUUACACCAUGAUGACAUUGACAUUUUUUUAUUAGAAUGGGGAAAAUAUAUUACCCAACAAAUAGGGGCAGGAGAAGAGAGCUCCUCCUCCUGAAGAGAACUUUCUUUCCUGUAGUUUGGUUACUAUUUUUGCUUGUACGUGGUUUUCUAACCCAAAUUUAUACCAGCUGGGCUUCUUUUUUGUAAUUUUUUUUUUGUGUGGGGGUACUUCAUUUCCUCUUCCUUCUGUAUCGCUCUUUGUGAUAAUGAAAGUUAUGUUUCUUAUUAAAAGGAAAAAAAAACCCUCCAAUACAGAAGAUCAACGAAAUAGGGAAUCAGAAUUAUAAAAUAAAAUUCCAAAAAGUAGUAAAAGGGGUAAACUCAUCAUCAAAAUAUUCUUUUGUUUCUUUCAAGCCAAGUACCCCAAAUCAAAGCCCUAAUGGCAACACCCGAUAAGCAAAAUAUUAUUCCCUUUGACCUCAGGCUCUUAGGCAUGGUUAUGGUUAGUGGCCACCGUGAGGGACUUUAUUUGUUUAUUUAUUUAUGUAUUUAUGUAUUUUUAGAAUAUUGUUAUCAAAUACUUUUGCGUGGGUUGGUCUGAGUUUCUUGACCAUGGGCUGUAGGCUGUUUGAUUUACCUCAGUUUUUGGGUAAACUUGUAGUCGAGCCAUAUGUUUAUCGAAGGAAACAAAACAAUGGAAGCUGAAGCACCCAGCAGUUGUAAUUGUGACCAUGCCUACCAAAUCACAUAUACGGUUUGGUAAGUUAGGUUAAUUGUUCACCACUUAUUGAAUUAAGGCGCUUGAGGAUGCUAUGAAGGUGGGUCUGGUGUAAAAGAGUUAAUUAGUACAUAAAGAGUUAAUUAAUAAAGGCACUGUCAAUUGGUUGGGCUGCUCACUGCUGUGCUGUCAACAACUGAACUGUGUGCAUGACACCGAUCGACUUGGCAAGGAUGUGCGUCGUUGCCAUCGAUGGGAUUGUUAUGGAUCUUGAGAGUUCUACUUCAAACUUCAAUCAACGACAGAAAUGCCCAAAUCAAGUGUGGACCAUGGACUAUAUGAUAUGUGAUUCCAUUGCAGCUAGUGCUUUUUUCUAAAUAAUGUUGAUUGAUGAAAAUUGAAGUUGGAAUUCUUAAAUUGAAUUAGAAUUAUGAAAUAAAAGAAAAAUACCAUGUUUUAUGGAUUUGGGAUUAACCAUUCCAAUUCAGUUGCUUCCUUGAGUGGCUAAAUCUAAAUACUAACUAAAUACAGUAAAUAUACUAGGUAGGAAACAAACUAAAAAGAAAGGAAAGAAGAUUAUCCUCCAAUCGGUUGACUUAGGCGAUGCUUGGUGUGCCACUCCUAAAUGGAAUUAACCGAUUAGCUUUAGUUGUGCCGUACUUCAAGCCCCAACUUACUGCUUGUGAGCCUAAUUGGAAUCUAACCAUCGAGCAUUUCAGAUGGUUUUUCUGGUUCUGCUUGUUCCCCUUGAUUGACCAGUAGUAACCUUUCUGCAUGAUUUUUAUUAGAUUUUCUACUCUUUCAUUGGGAUUGGGGGGGUGGGGGUGGGGGUGUUUGGGGUUUAAAUCAUAUUUUCGUUAAUUUUCACAUGAAUACAACCAACUUUAUAUCUUCUUUGGUUAAAAUGUCUGUAAGUUUACAUUAUACUUAUACCUGGCAAGUUUGUGUUUUGGUUGCUACGAUUCACCACAGUUUUUAUUUAUUUAUUGAAGUUGUGCUUUCAUUAUAAGCAGGUGUUUUAAUUUGUUUCUAGUGGAAUAAGUUAAUUUUCUGGGCUAGAAAUAAAAUUGCGAACUAUUUGUUUGUAACAUCUUUUUAAAGAUUUCAGGUAGUAGAAAACUAUAUAGGAUAGGGAUUUUGACAUUGGCUUUGAACCUUGAGAAGGCAUGAAUGGUAGUUGAAAAAUCCUAGGCAUUACAGAGGAUUGGUCGUGGAUCAAAACCAAUAAAGAAUUUUCAAUUUGCUUUGAAGCCAAAACGCCAAAUUAUACUCUUUUGUACACAUAUCAGCUUUAGUAGAGUGUUUUUUUUAAAAAAUUAAAUAAAAAAAUUUGUAGAUAGAAUACUUUGGCGACAACCCUUUUGCAAUUAGGACUAGUUUGAGAUUUUAAUACUAUUUUUACUAAGUAUCUUCAAUUAGCCUUUUCAUUUCAUUGAUUUGCAUUAGAUUCGAACUCAAAAGAACUGGGUUGCAGAAGGAAUAGGGAAAAAAGACCCUCCAAAAAAACCCAGAACUUGGUCAAGAAUUUUGUCAUAGAUUUUAGAGAGUUCACAUAAAACAAGGAGUUUUGAUACUUCAUAAAAAUGUGAAAAAAGAAAAGUAGAUGAAAUUGAACCAAAGCUACAUUCAACCUGUAAAACAAAAUUUGGAGGAAAGUUAAUUGUGAACUUUGACGAGAGAAAAUGGGAGAUUCGUGAUAUGUAUUAUUUAUUAUUUGUAUGAUUAUUAUGGACUAACUGUUUUAACAUAUUUGAUUUUAAUGAAUUAGUAGGUGGCUAUAAAAUCAUCUCUGCACUCUUCAAUCUCGGUGUCGCUGCCCUUGCUUUCUUUUUCUUUUUUGUAAUCUUGGAGUCCAUUUCGGACCUUUUUUGGGACCAUGUCUCGGACUUAUUUUCUAAUAAUCCUGUAAUAAACCAUUACCCCUCUUUUCGUAAUUAAAUUUUCUUCCAUA